rnacentral:rRNA from 1 species
GUGUCAGCAGCCGCGGUAAUACGAAGGGGGCUAGCGUUGUUCGGAAUUACUGGGCGUAAAGGGCGUGCAGGCGGAUCCGCCAGUCAGAGGUGAAAGCCCCGGGCUUAACCUGGGAAUUGCCUUUGAUACUGUGGAUCUAGAGUUCGGGAGAGGGUCGUGGAAUUCCCAGUGUAGAGGUGAAAUUCGUAGAUAUUGGGAAGAACACCAGUGGCGAAGGCGGCGACCUGGACCGACACUGACGCUGAGGCGCGAAAGCGUGGGGAGCAAACAGGAUUAGAUACCCUGGUAGUCCACGCCGUAAACGAUGUGUGCUAGACGUUGGGGGACCUAGUCCUUCAGUGUCGCAGCUAACGCGUUAAGCACACCGCCUGGGGAGUACGGCCGCAAGGUUAAAACUUAAAUGAAUUGACGGGG